ensembl:misc_RNA Metazoa_SRP Metazoan signal recognition particle RNA
GCCAGGCGUGGUGACUCACGCCUGUAAUCCCAGCACUUUGGGAGGCCGAGGCGGGUGGGUCACUUGAGGUCAGGAGUUGGAGACUAGCCUGACCAACACAGUGAAACCCCGUCUCUA